rnacentral:rRNA from 1 species
AACGAACGCUGGCGGCAUGCCUAACACAUGCAAGUCGAACGAGACCUUCGGGUCUAGUGGCGCACGGGUGCGUAACGCGUGGGAACCUGCCCUUAGGUUCGGAAUAACUCCCCGAAAGGGGUGCUAAUACCGGAUAAUGACUUCGGACCAAAGAUUUAUCGCCUUUGGAUGGGCCCGCGUUGGAUUAGCUAGUUGGUAGGGUAAAAGCCUACCAAGGCGACGAUCCAUAGAUGGUCUGAGAGGAUGAUCAACCACACUGGGACUGAGACACGGCCCAGACUCCUACGGGAGGCAGCAGUGGGGAAUAUUGGACAAUGGGCGAAAGCCUGAUCCAGCAAUGCCGCGUGAGUGAUGAAGGCAUUAGGGUUGUAAAGCUCUUUUACCCGGGAUGAUAAUGACAGUACCGGGAGAAUAAGCUCCGGCUAACUCCGUG